rnacentral:rRNA from 1 species
GACGAACGCUGGCGGCGCGCCUAACACAUGCAAGUCGAACGAGCGAGAGAGAGCUUGCUUUCUCGAGCGAGUGGCGAACGGGUGAGUAACGCGUGAGGAACCUGCCUCAAAGAGGGGGACAACAGUUGGAAACGACUGCUAAUACCGCAUAAGCCCACGACCCGGCAUCGGGUAGAGGGAAAAGGAGCAAUCCGCUUUGAGAUGGCCUCGCGUCCGAUUAGCUAGUUGGUGAGGUAACGGCCCACCAAGGCGACGAUCGGUAGCCGGACGGAGGGGUUGAACGGCCACAUUGGGACUGGGACACGGCCCAGACUCUACGGGAGGCAGCAGUGGGGAAUAUUGCACAAUGGGGGAAACCCUGAUGCAGCGACGCCGCGUGGAGGAAGAAGGUCUUCGGAUUGUAAACUCCUGUUGUUGAGGAAGAUAAUGACGGUACUCAACAAGGAAGUGACGGCUAACUACGUG